CCUUAAGUUAUUCAAUCCAAGCUUUCACAAUGGCCUGCAAGAUGGCAUUAGUCUUGUCUCUAUCGGUGUUAGCAUUCUUCAUCUGCCUUGGUACUGCUGAAGCUGGCCCGCAGUGCAUGUACAAGCUUAAUCCUUACUAUCAUAGUAGGUGCGAGACAAAUGAUGACAACGACAAUUGUCGAAGUGCUUGUAAAAAAAUUGAGGCACCAAAGUACAUGGGUGGUAUGUGCCAUGAUGAACAAUGCGUCUGUUAUACCUGUUAAUGAUCAUCGGACUCUUCCACCGCUGGGGCAGCCAUUAAGAUAUAUCCACUUGUGCCUUGGUGGACACCACCAUAGAAAGAUUUGAGCUCCAAGGAAGAUUGUCUUUUUGGUGUAACAGAAUAAAUUGGCAAUGUAUCGAACUAUGAUUUAGCAA